UGUUCUCGUUGUCGUUAUUCGUUUUCAUUUCACAGUUCGCAGUUUCACACUAUAAAAAAAAAAGUUCACUACUCGUCUGAGAUCUGAUAUGAGUCACUCGCUCAAGUUUCAACAAGUUCAUCUGUGCAAGUUCACUUACACUUCAUCAGCCCCGCAGAGUCGUUCGAUUGUUCUAAUUCAACGCAAUACUGUGUAGCGAAUGCCAUGGCACAAAUCAAAGUUGAGAUGAUCAGUGACACGUCGUUAAAAGGCCAUGACGCACACCACGGUCCCAACGCCAAUCAUAGGCCGGAAGUCGAAUUCCACGGUGGUGGCCGCGGUGGAGAAGAGGCAACCGCUUCUUACCGUACGGUGGUCAGUGGGCCCAGAAAUCUAAGAGUAAAAUGGAAAUGGUAUACGAGGUUCGGUAUACAGAUAGAGCAGCGAAGUACCUCAUGGAUGGUAUAUCGAGGGACAACAAUAUGUCAAGAGAAGAAUUUCUCAAUAAUUAUUAUCACGGUGACAACCCUCAAGGAGAUAAUGAUAUCAUGCAUAGAAGCAAUCGCAAUCAUUCUGAAAGUGAAAGAAAAGGUGGUGUUGGUGGAGUUUUCAGAUGCGGACGAUGCGGUCCACCUAAUCAAGGAGAUGAUUAUCAUACUAUGGAAUGAUCGUUUAAAGCAAAUAAUGGACCCAAAUUAUGAAUUUCCAAAAACUGAUACCACUGAAAGAUAGUUCCUUGGUCAGUGUCGUCUUUACAUAGGAAACUUGUGGAUUGUACUGAAGAAGAAUUGAUAGAAAUGUUUAAACCUUAUGGAGAAGUUUCCGAAAUUUUUUGCUAGAGAAUAAAUGAUUGGCUUUAUCAAAUUGAUUGAACGUUGCUAAUUGAUGGUAGAUAAAACAGGUAAUUCAACUGGAGACGGAAUCAUUGAAUUCUCAUCUUCAUAUGCUUCGAACAAUGUUUUGAAUCAUUUUUCAAAAAGAAGUUUCUUCUUGAUGAGUUCAGAUCAUCCUUGUGUAGUGAAAACAGUUUAUAGACAGUAUAGAUGGUCGCCCAAAUGAGUUUGUUUAUUGUUGGUUUUCUGAGUUACAUGAUUUUUUUAAAUCUAAGGAAGAAGCAUUUAAACGUGAAGAAAAAAUUAAAAAUAAUCUGUUCCGAAUACAUUAUAUUUAAUAUAAACACAAGAAUGGGAAAUGAAGGAGUGUCAAGCAAAGGAUUUAGACUUAGGGAAAAAGAUAUCGGGAGACAAAAUUUAAAGAAUUAAGCAUGAGAAGUUACUUGUUGUACGGAGCACAUCGGGUAAUGUUGUUAUCGCUAGUAGCCACAUUGUCUCGUCAUCUACUCGGAGUAAAUAUUUUACAACACCUGAGGGCAUCAUUGUACCUAAGAGUAACAAUGGGCGGUUCAUCGUUAUUUAACAUGUAAUUUCCUCUAAAUUUGAACAUAAAAUAACUAUAAAAAAACAGUGUUUUUUAUAUUUUUUGGUUACAGAAUAAUUUACUUACGUGUUGCUUUGUUCUAAGUUUUCAAUCCUAAGCUAUAAAUGUUAAACAUUUUAUACAUUUUUAAUUACAAAAUAAUUUUUAAAUUUUAAAUUUGAUAAAUGUCAGAAAUCAAACUUUAAAUGCUUAUAAAAAAAAUUGUGCCUAUUUAUUUUUAAUAUUUUUUAAAUACUAUUGUAAGAAUAUAUCAGAGGCCUUGUAUUAAUGGGUUUUUGACCCAAGAAAUAAAAUGUUAUUGAUAUUUAUAUAUAAAAAACCUAAAAAGAAAUUUAUGUUGUAAUUGUCCGUAAACAGCUCAAAAUAUUUUGAACAUUUUAUCAAGUAUCGAAAUUGGUAAAGUAAACAUAUGAUAUAAAUCUCAAGUGUAUACAGUUAUUUGUUUUUUAAUUACAACACCAAUGUAAAAAUUUGAACUUCAAACACCCAUAACAAUUUAAUUUGACUUUCUAAGAAAUUUUUUUUUUUUAUAAGAGUAUAUAACCUUAUAAGCAAUCUUAUAUCACAUUUUAAAAUCUUAGAUUUAAAAAGAAAAUUUUUUAUGAAUUUCUUACUCAAAAUAAUUUAGACAUUUUCAUGAUUUUUAAAGUUUAAAUGCUUAUAAAAAUAAUUGUGACUGGAUUUUUAAUAUUUUUCAAUUGUCAUUGUAGAAAUUCGCUAGACUAAACCGGUUUAAAAUUAUCCCACAUUAUCCCGCACAGGGAUAAUGAACCAUGUAAAUGAUAUGGUCCAAACAUCCCGGUGCAUUAUUUUUCACACCGGUUUAGUCUAGCAAAUUUCUACAUUGUAACACUUGUAUCAAUUUAUAUCAAUUGUAUUCACUGUAUUUUAAUAAUAUUAAUAAUCUUUUUUGCAACAAUAGAUAUAAUAUACAAUAUUUACAAACAUAAGAGUUAGAUAUUGCAGCACGCCUUAUAAACGAAGCUUGUGCUGGGGCACAGUUCUUAUUAUUU